rnacentral:rRNA from 1 species
UACGUAGGUGGCGAGCGUUGUCCGGAUUUACUGGGCGUAAAGAGCGCGCAGGCGGUCGUUCAAGUCGAGUGUGAAAGCCCCCGGCUCAACUGGGGAGGGUCACUCGAUACUGAUCGACUCGAAGGCAGGAGAGGGAAGUGGAAUUCCCCGGUGUAGUGGUGAAAUGCGUAGAUAUCGGGAGGAACACCAGUGGCGAAGGCGAGUUUCUGGACAGUAACUGACGCUGAGGCGCGAAAGCGUGGGGAGCGAACAGG